UACAAGAUCACGGGAGGUAACGCUCAACCGGGCCUCGCCUAAUGUUGUGCAGCCUUGCAUAUAUGCAUAGUACAUCGAUCUGGCAUGCAUCAUGUCGGGACCUGUUACACCCACAGUUGCAUUUCCGAGGAACGAUUGUAAUUUCGGGGAAACGCGGUUAUCGGGAACAGUGUCGACUGCUCGGCUUGUAAACUAUUCGAAGGACCUCAGCAAUUGCCACACAGAGAAGAGAUUAUCCGACAAAUUUAGGCUUUCUUGGAGCAUUCGUGAAAGUUUCCAAUGCGAAAAUGCCCCCAGAAAUCCUAAACUAAGUUGGUAAUAUUCAGCAGAGCGGAGAAUUGGAGACUCUUCAAGGGAGACUCUUCAAGGGAGCUUGGGACCUAUUUGGCACAGUUUGCGUUAAGGACUUGGAGUGCGGACGUUUCCCACGUUGUUUGGUUUCACGUGUGCGUCCUAUCCCAUGACCGUGGUGUGAUUACAUGAAUGUGCAGCUUUCAAAAGGAAGUAUUUAGUUUAAACAAUGAAACAAAGCAUGUAUGACACGAGGAUAUUACUUGACAGAUAUCGGUUGUCGUGUCACUGCUGUCCCGACUUCUAUCCAGCUGGAGAAGGGCAUGGGUUUGCCCUUUAAUUUCCGAGAACAAUUAAAAUACCACUUUUAUAACAUGGUCCUAAGUGGAUAUCUAUAUUUGUGUUGUUUAAUCUGAACGGUAAUAAUGUACUAAGUAUACAACAAUGCUUGUGAAAUUAUCUUGAUUUGGUUUUAUUGAAUAACAUGUUAUUCAUUUCUUGCGCUUUGUACAUGUAGAUGAUCAUGAGAGAAAAGGAAGUGAUCCAUUCAGUCACACGAGACAUUGAACUUAGACAUUGAUCCAUCAUUGUUAUUGUGAUAAUUGACUUUCCCGCAAGAACUGAACGAAAUUCUGUAUUAGUUUUAGUGGUCCGAAACACUAUAUGUUGUAAACAGUGACGCCUGAGUUAUCGAAGAACAAGAAAAACCAAGGCCUCCUUUGUUAUAUACUCAUAAGCUAUACUGCAUGAUACAUGAUAACCCCUGUUCUGAAUGCAUAACGAGACAUUAUAUAAGAAACGAAUUAUGGUC